GAAGAAACAAAGACAUUGGCUACUCUCAUCGACUCUCAUUUCUUAGCGUUCACCGCACUUGUCACUUUUCUGUUUUCGACAUCACCGCGCUCCUCAAAUUCGACAAAGUCACUGAUUUUUCCGGCAUCCUUAUUCUUUACUGCACUUUGACCAAAUUUUCUUAGUUUUAUAAAUAGAGGGAGUACAUUAGCAUGAAAAUUGCACAGAAGCCAAACUAGAAGGACCGAAGGAUCUUCUUUGGAUUUUAUGAUCCAUGUCAUCUCCCAAAGAAUCCUGGAUGGCCUCUUCGCAACUUCUUAGCACUUAUUUCUGUGAGGUGGAAUCUCAACUCAAUUCAAUUUUUCUGCUAUAGAGAGAACCGUGGUUUUGCAGAUAUGAAGUUGUCUCUUGUUGGUGAAGCAUUGAUAACAGUUCCACAAGGGUGGAAAGACACAGUGCCUAGUGCAGUUGGAUGGGAACUUAAUAAGGGUAGAAAAGCUUCUAGGUGUAUAAGCCUUGCACAGUCCAUGGAUCCAACCAGAUUGGCCAUAUCUGCUGCAGAUUUGAAUUUAAAGCUUAUGAGGUGGCGUGCUUUGCCAUCUCUAAACUUGGAUGCCUUAUCUUCCAUGAAGUGUCUUCUCCUUGGAGCUGGCACGCUUGGAUGCCAGGUCGCACGCAUGCUUAUGGCAUGGGGUGUUCGAAAAAUUACUCUAGUUGACAAUGGUAGGGUGGCUAUGUCUAACCCAUUGAGGCAGUCUCUUUAUACUUUGGAUAACUGUCUUAAUGGUGGUGAAUUUAAAGCUACUGCAGCAGUUGAAAGUCUCAAACGGAUAUUUCCAGCAGUGGAUGCAGAAGGUAUUGUUAUGGCUAUACCAAUGCCUGGACAUCCCAUACAAAGCCAGGAACACGAUAGUGUGCUUGAUGAUUGUAAAAGGUUGCAUGAUUUAAUUGAAGCUCACGAUUCAGUUUUUUUGUUAACCGAUACAAGGGAAAGUCGAUGGCUGCCAACACUUCUCUGUGCCAAUACUAUCAAGAUUACCAUUACUGCUGCACUAGGGUUUGACAGUUUCUUGGUUAUGCGUCAUGGAGCUGGUCCUUUAAGUUUUCAAGAAGAAACAAAGACAAUGGCUACUCUCAUUGACUCUCAUUUCUUAGCAUUCACCGCACUUGUCACUAUAAGCAUUUCCAAUCUCUUUUUUUUUUUUUUCAUUUUCAUAUAUUUUCCGUUGUUCAUCACAAACAUUUACUUACUUUUGUUUAAUUUUUCAGAUUGAUUAUCAGUUUCUGUUUUCGACAUCACCGCGCUCCUCAAAUUCGACAAAGUCACUGAUUUUUCCGGCAUCCUUAUUCUUUACUGCACUUUGACCUUUUCCUUGAUUUCAAAAGGAAGCACGAAUUUCAUUACAAUUGCUGUAUUGACACUGGUGAUCAAAGGAUCGUGGUAUUUUCGACAGAUAAUCCUGAUGUUGUUUGUUGGGAUAUGGGGAAUUCGCCUGGCGCUUUUCCUGUUAUUCAGGUGUGGACUGUGAGUUUACUGGUCACAUUGGUUAAUGCAAGCGACAUAGUUGUUCAAUGACCAAUUUGUGAUUAUAGGUGUGGACUGUGAGUUUACUGGUCACAUUGGUUAAUGCAAGCGACAAAAAUCCCUUUCUACAUGUUGUGGAUAUAAUAGGUUGGAUUUUGUGGGCUGUCGGUUUUAUUGUGGAAGGUACAGCAGAUCAACAAAAGCUGAAUUUCAAAAGAUCAUCAGAAAAUAGAGGGAGGUAGUGUAAUGUUGGAGUCUCAAAAUAUUCUCGUCAUCCUAACUAUUUUUAUGAGGUAAGUGCUAGUAUUGCUUUCAAACGAAAAUAUUUUGGUAUUGCAGGGUUGUAUAUGGAAGAAUGUACAGUAAGUUUUAUUGAAUUUUUGAAUUCAGCUAGGAUUAUUCUAAUAAGCUCUUUUAGCUUAUUUCAACAACUUUUACUGUGUAGCUUUUUGAAAUAGGUUUUUCUUUUUCAACUCAUUGAGUAAGGUUCAAGUCUAGCUUAUGAUAUAAUAUGUGAGCUCUCAUUUGAUAA